rnacentral:rRNA from 1 species
GGAUUAGAUACCCUGGUAGUCCACGCCGUAAACGAUGUCAAUUAGCCGUUGGGAAUCUUGUAUUCUUAGUGGCGCAGCUAACGCGAUAAAUUGACCGCCUGGGGAGUACGGCCGCAAGGUUAAAACUCAAAUGAAUUGACGGGGGCCCGCACAAGCGGUGGAGCAUGUGGUUUAAUUCGAUGCAACGCGAAGAACCUUACCAGGUCUUGACAUCCUGAGAACUUUCUAGAAAUAGAUUGGUGCCUUCGGGAACUCAGUGACAGGUGCUGCAUGGCUGUCGUCAGCUCGUGCCG